AACGAACGCUGGCGGCAUGCCUAACACAUGCAAGUCGAACGAGACCUUCGGGUCUAGUGGCGCACGGGUGCGUAACACGUGGGAAUCUGCCCUUUGCUUCGGAAUAACAGUUAGAAAUGACUGCUAAUACCGGAUGAUGUCGAAAGACCAAAGAUUUAUCGGCAAAGGAUGAGCCCGCGUAGGAUUAGGUAGUUGGUGGGGUAAAGGCCUACCAAGCCGACGAUCCUUAGCUGGUCUGAGAGGAUGAUCAGCCACACUGGGACUGAGACACGGCCCAGACUCCUACGGGAGGCAGCAGUGGGGAAUAUUGGACAGUGGGCGAAAGCCUGAUCCAGCAAUGCCGCGUGAGUGAUGAAGGCCUUAGGGUUGUAAAGCUCUUUUACCAGGGAUGAUAAUGACAGUACCUGGAGAAUAAGCUCCGGCUAACUCCGUG
rnacentral:rRNA from 1 species